rnacentral:miRNA from 8 species
ACGACUUUACUUCUGAGCAUCUU